CAACAACAGAAUAACAAUCGUCGGAAGCAACGAAACCAGCGUGACCAACGUGACCAACGGAACCAAGAUCGGGCACGUGGAAUUAGCCUGGAAACUCGUAUGGAAACGUUCGAGCGACUCGCUCGUCGUACAACUGCUCUCGGAAAGAGCGUACGACGAGCAAUUGAGGCAGAGCGGUUGCCCGGCCACCUCAUUUUGGGAUACAUGAACCGAUAUAAAAAUGUUUGUAAAAAUAUGGAUUAUGAGC